CCUCACGGAGUCGAUGCUUCUGAUGCGACCCC
rnacentral:rRNA from 1 species